CCUCCUUUCUUUGCAUACUCGUUGUUUUCCCGUACACGCAUGUGUAUGUGAUGGAGGAAUAUGAAAGUCCAGUGCUAUGUCUUCGGUGCCAAAAAAAAAGCAACCAUCUUCUGGUUCUAUCCUCAAUCUCUGGCACAUUC